CCGCGCUGUGCUCCCGGCAGCGGCUCCCUCCGCGGCUCCCUCCGGGCUGAGCGAGCUCUAGACCCCGGCCCGCCCGCCCGCCGCGCCGCCUCCCUUCGCAUCUGGCCGGACCCCUCGGCCCGACGGCCACGGUGAGCUCACGGGCGCCUCCCCGGCCCUGGCGGCACCCCCGGGCGCUGCCCCGCGCCGGCGGGGUGCGCCCUACCCGGAAGCCCUGCCGCUCCAGACCUGCAGGCCGGGUCUGCGCCGGACUCCGAGGUGGGCCCUCCGGGCACGGAGACCCCGGCUGGCCCUGUGGCCCAUCCUCCCACUUUGGCAGGUCCUGAGCCCCGGGCUCCCUCCCACUGGCCAGGUGGCCUGUGUGGCUCGGGCCUGUUUUGCCCUCUGACCCCUGAAGUCUCAGCCCGAGACAGGUGGCUCAGGGAGCUGCUGGGGAGAAGGCCCAGGAGACACAGCCAGGAUGGGGAGACUGCCUGGCCUUGCCGUGGACCCCUCCGCCAAGUGCCCUGGAGGCGGAGGCGCCUGCUCCUUCCUCUUCCCUCGGAGCUCCUCAGACAGGAAGGCGCUACCCAUUCGGGAACCCUAAGCCUUGUCGGGUUAAUUGCUGUAUGACCCUCAGCAGGUGGACUAGGGCUGCCUGCAACACAGGUAGCCCCAGUAGCCACAAAAGGACCACGUGGAUAGCUUGAAUCCUGCUGAGGGUCAUGAGUGAUGGUCCUGCCUGGAGUACUCACGGCCCUGGAGAGAUGUAGACAAGCAGGGGACAGGGUGGAUACUGUUUUGCUAUGGGUUGAGUAGUGGUCAGGGGCAGGAGCUUUCUCCCAGCCACAAGGUCUCAGGACUAGUUCUGGAGGGACUGAGGUCCCAGGUUCUGAGGCAUUCAAGCACAAACUCAACCAAUACCCUUCUCAGGAGUAUGCCUUCAGCCUUUGAGCGGUUGGUCCGGAGCGUGGUCCGGGAGCUGGACCACAGCAGGGAGCUCAUCCCAGUGGACAGUCUUCAGAGCUCCACCAGCUACCAGCCUUACAGACUGCUGAGCAGGAAGUCCCCAAGCUCCUGGUUCUGGAGACCUCGUUAUACCUGUGUCAACCUGUCAAUCAAGGACAUUUUGGAGCCUGAUGCCCCAGAACCAGGUAUCCAGGGAGAAGAAAGGAGUGGCCUGGCCACACCUGCCACCUGCUAGGCUCACCAGCUCUGGGCCUCUGGCCCUGUUUGCAGAGGGUUGGCCUUUUCAAAGGUCCCACUGCCUGCGGGUGGGACAGGACAGUAGCAGGUGGGACAGGCCCCAUGCUCAGGUCUGGUCUUGCUUCAGAGUUGGAGCGUAGUGGCCCUUUCCACUUCUAUGACGCUGUGGACGGCCAGCUGCAGGGCAGUGUGGAGCUGGGAGCCCUGGGACAAGGGAAGAUCUCAGGUGGAGCUGCAGUGUCCGGCAGCUCCAGUGCUUCCAUGAACGUGUGCACGCUGCGUGUGGACCCAAACACUUGGGAGAUCAUGCAACAGGAGAGGUGAGCUCUGGAGGGACUGAGGUCCCUGACCCUGUGCAGCCACACAUAUGGGGAGGCCACUGGGUCAUGGACAUCAGGAGAAUCCCAAGGCCAUGCCUGUGUGCCAGCAAGGAGAGUCUAAGAUGCAAGGGAGCGCUGUGGCCAUGGUGGGCUGCCAGGGAAGGAGGCGGCACAGUCACCCAGACCUCAGUUGCAAGGACAUAUCAUGAAGGCAGGGACCUGGGGAUCAAACUGAGCCUCAGGCUCAGUGUAGAGGAGAGUAAAGGCUAGCGGGUGCCCCGGGGUCCCAUGGGUCCACUUCUCCCUGCUGGACCUCAUCCCUCCUCUUCACACCCACCUAGACACUGUUGGGAGUACCCAGGAAGGGUACCCAUGCCUGGCAUCUGCAGACUCCCAGAUGCCCUUGCCACUUCACCCCACCCAUCGUGGGGCAGUGGGGAGGCCAGUCUGUGGUGGACAUACCCCAGUGAGCUUCCUGCAGGCGCCUGCGGCAGCCCGAACACAAGAUCCUGGAGCAGCUGAGGAAUCGCAGGGACAAUGUGUAUGUGGUGACGGAGGUGCUACAGACCCAGGAAGAGGUGAAGGUCACCCAAACCCGCAAGAAGGAGGGCUCGGGCCAGUUUGCACUGCCUGGAAACAUGUGCCUUCAGGUGUGUGGCCGGCCCUCAGCCCAUCUUGGCCUGACAUGAACGCAGGGUGGCAGCAGGCGAGGUUUUGCCAAGAGCCCUGCAGGAGCAGUUCACAGCCCCACGCUUGACCCAGGGCUCCCCAAAGCCUGGGUUGGCUGACACCAGUAGCAAGCUUGUUACUAGCACCCAGCCCACACCACACCCCACGUCCCCACACCUAGGGCCCAGUCCUGCUAUGUCUAUUCGUCCC
rnacentral:lncRNA from 1 species